CAACUUUCAACAACGGAUCUCUUGGCUCUUGCAUCGAUGAAGAACGCAGCGAAAUGCGAUAAGUAAUGUGAAUUGCAGAAUUCCGUGAAUCAUCAAAUCUUUGAACGCAAAUUGCACUCUUUGGUAUUCCGAAGAGUAUGCUUGCUUGAGGGUUGUUC
rnacentral:rRNA from 1 species